rnacentral:pre_miRNA from 1 species
AGAGGAAUUGCUGGGUCAUAUGGUAAUUUUAUUUUCAGUUUUUUGAGGAACCGCCACACUGUUCUCCACAAUGGCUGUACCAUUUUGCAUUCCUACCAGCAAU